AGUGGAAAACGAUGUGAAGUUACUCAAACAACCAGGAGGUUGGCUUAGAAGCAGCCAUCCUUUAAAGAAAGCGUAAUAGCUCACUGGUCUAGUGAUUUUGCGCGGAAAAUAUAACGGGGCUAAAGUAAGUACCGAAGCGGUAGGCUUGUGCUUAGUUAAAUUCUUUGAUAUUUUAUCAUUUAGAUUUAAAACUAACGAUAGUGGUUCUUGCCUUAGCAAGAAAGUUUUAAAAUAUUUUAGGAUAAAGAAUUUUACUAAGCACAAGCGGUAGGAGAGCGUUCUAUUUGCGCCGAAGGUAUACCGGUAAGGAGUGCUGGAGCGGAUAGAAGUGAGCAUGCAGGCAUGAGUAGCGAUAAUUAAUGUGAGAAUCAUUAACGCCGUAAACCCAAGGUUUCCUACGCGAUGCUCG
rnacentral:rRNA from 1 species